AGAGUUUGAUCCUGGCUCAGGAUGAACGCUGGCGGCGUGCUUAACACAUGCCAGUCGAGGGCUCUGGGACAACCCAGGUACCGGCGAACGGGCGCGUAACACGUGAGCGACCUGCCCGCUUGAGGGGGAUAUCCGGUCCAAUGUUCGGGAAAUACCGCAUACGUUCUCUUGGCGGCUUCGCUGGGAGAAGAUAGUUCUGGCGCAGGCGGAGGGGCUCGCGGCCUAUCAGCUCGUUGGCGGGGUAACGGCCCAACAAGGCUAUGACGGGUAGCUGGUCUGAGAGGAUGGCCAGUCACAUUGGGACUGAUAGACCGCCCAGACUCCUACGGGAGGCAGCAAUGUGGAAUCUUGCGCUAUGGCGGCAAGGUUGUUGCAGCGACGCCGCGUGCGGGAGGACGCCCUUCGGGGUGUAAACCGCUGUUGCCCGGGACGAACGGAAGGUCGUGACCUUCGUGUCGGUACCGGGAGAGGAAGCACCGGCUAACUCCGUGCCAGCAGCCGCGGUAAUACGGAGGGUGCGAGCGUUGUCCGGAAUCACUGGGCGUAAAGGGCGCGUAGGCGGCUUUUUAAGCGUGCGGUGAAAGCCCGGGGCUCAACCCCGGGUCGGCCGUGCGAACUGGGAGGCUUGAGCACUGUAGAGGCGGGUGGAAUUCCGGGUGUAGCGGUGGAAUGCGUAGAGAUCCGGAAGAACACCGGUGGCGAAGGCGGCCCGCUGGGCAGGAGCUGACGCUGAGGCGCGACAGCGUGGGGAGCAAACAGGAUUAGAUACCCCGGUAGUCC
rnacentral:rRNA from 1 species